AGUCACGAUUUUUCCAUAUUGGUAUGGAUUCUAAAACCUUAUAGGAAAAUGCCAUCUUUCACAAAAUGAAACUAUGCCUACAGAGCUGCUGAGGGAUGCCCUGUAGUGGACUGGCUGAGACUGUCGAGCAUCAGGUUGCAAAUCUCCAGAGGUACAAGGGGCUCAUUGGUAGCCUGGCCUGCUUUUGGUAUAUCAAUGAGGACAUCCCUGACGUAAAUUCGUUUCGUGACAGUGGGUGAUUGAGAAAGGAGCCCAAGCAGAAGGCAGAACACAGAUGGAGCAGUUGACUUGUUCUUGUUCAUUUCCCUUUCCGCAACGAAUAGAAUCCAAUUAAUUAAUUUGGGUGUAUGCUGAUU